rnacentral:misc_RNA from 1 species
GAAAUGCGAUAAGUAGUGUGAAUUGCAGAAUUCAGUGAAUCAUCGAAUCUUUGAACGCACAUCGCGCCCCUUGGUAUUCCAUGGGGCAUGCCUGUUCGAGCGUCAUUUGUACCCUCAAGCUCUGCUUGGUGUUGGGUGUUUGUCCCGUCUCCGCGCGUGGACUCGCCCCAAAGUGAUUGGCAGCCGGCGUACUGGUCCCGGAGCGCAGCACAUGUCGCGCAAACGAGUGCCUUGGUACGGCGGCGUCCAUAAGCCCCUCUCUCACGCUCUUGACCUCGGAUCAGGUAGGGAUACCCGCUGAACUUAAGC